rnacentral:lncRNA from 1 species
CCAAUAGAAUGUAGUGGAACUGAUGCUAUGUCACUUCCAGGAAUAGCCUUUAUGACACCUAAAACUUUCUUCUUCCUUUUUUGGGGACUCCUGGGCCACUCUGCAAGAGAUCUGAGAACCCUGAAGGGACUGUGGUGUGAGGAAGUCCACACUAGCCAUGUGGACAGGCUGUGUCAAGAGUGAAAGAGAGAUGCCUGGCCAACCCUCAGUAAUUGAGUUCUUUGCUCCACAGAAUCAUGGUGAAAGCACCUUUUUUGCUUCUAUGUUCUUCUGCCUUCUCCCUGCCUGGAAUUUUGACACAAGACUUACAGAUCUAAGAAAGCUUUGGAGAUUAUGAGACAAAAAACAAGCGAAUACAAGCCUACCUAUUAAAGAUAGAAAGAGUUGAGUCCUUGUUUACACCCUUGGGCCACCCAUACCAGUCAGCUCUAGACUGGCUCUCCUGGAGACAAAGUCCUAUCUGCGUAAGUCAAUGUUAUUUUGAUGUUCUGUUACUUGCCACUGAAUAUAUUCAAAGUUGAUAUAACUAUCAACAAAUAUCUGUUGAUUGGUUGACUGAAUCCCUUGUUUCCCAGCCUCAUCUUUUCUAAAAGUUUACCUACAACAAGAUAGUCUCUUUGGGAUUUAUGGUUCAUACCUAAUGAGCACACUUGGUGCUUCUCUCAGAGAUGCUCAACUGUGGUCAGUCUCCACCCAUCAUAUUUUUUCAGCCUUUGUUAGAAAAGUGGAAGGGUUUUAUUGUUGUUGCUGCUGUUGUUGCUAAGCAACCCUGAAUCUUCAGUCUUAAAUGUGCGACUCUAAGUGUUGGGAUCAUUCUACAUUAAAAUGCCUUCUAUUUUUGCCUUAAUUUUAAGUUAAAAUGAGAUCCCUCUGAAUGAGGCAGUCAUUUAGCAAGUCAGAAAUUCCUGUUGCCCCUAAUCUCUGGCUUUUAAGCUCUUCUAUUCAGUAUGUUUUUUCUCCGCAAAGUAUGAAAAAGAAAUCAUAGAGAACAAAAUAAAGACCCAUGAUCAUUUCUCCUAAUUUUCA